rnacentral:rRNA from 1 species
CCUACGGGAGGCAGCAGUGAGGAAUAUUGGUCAAUGGGCGCGAGCCUGAACCAGCCAAGUAGCGUGAAGGAUGACUGCCCUACGGGUUGUAAACUUCUUUUAUAAAGGAAUAAAGUGAGGCACGUGUGCCUUUUUGUAUGUACUUUAUGAAUAAGGAUCGGCUAACUCCGUGCCAGCAGCCGCGGUAAUACGGAGGAUCCAAGCGUUAUCCGGAUUUAUUGGGUUUAAAGGGAGCGUAGACGGGUUGUUAAGUCAGUUGUGAAAGUUUGCGGCUCAACCGUAAAAUUGCAAUUGAUACUGGCAGUCUUGAGUACAGUUGAGGUAGGCGGAAUUCGUGGUGGAGCGGUGAAAUGCUUAGAGAUCACGAAGAACUCCGAUUGCGAAGGCAGCUUAACAAACUGCCACUGACAUUGAUGCUCGAAAGGGUGGGGAGCAAACAGGAUUAGAUACCCCGGUAGUC